UACGAAGGGUGCAAGCGUUAGUCGGAAUUACUGGGCGUAAAGCGUGCGUAGGCGGUUUCUUAAGUCCGUUGUGAAAGCCCUGGGCUCAACCUGGGAACUGCAGUGGAUACUGAGAGGCUAGAGUGUGUCAGAGGAUGGUGGAAUUCCCGGUGUAGCGGUGAAAUGCGUAGAGAUCGGGAGGAACAUCAGUGGCGAAGGCGGCCAUCUGGGACAACACUGACGCUGAGGCACGAAAGCGUGGGGAGCAAACAGGG
rnacentral:rRNA from 1 species